CACAGCAAAAUCACCAGUGUUAAAUUUUCAGGGAUGGUGUUAAAUACACAGUGUUGAUGCUGUUUUAACACUAUCUGGUAAUAAAAUAACACUGCCAUUGCUAGGCCAGUGUUAUAUUCACGACAGUGUCAGUGUAAAACAAGGGUGUUAUCAGAUUUCACUCUGAGCGGUGUAAAUCAAGCCACGCCUCCACUAAACAUAUCCUGUCAGGGAUUUUACCGCCAUUUUCUUUCACAGGAGGACUGAAGAGAUCAGGUAAAUCAGUUUAAUAAUAUUCAUGAGAUUUGGCUUAAUUAAACUGUUAUUUCUCUGUCUGACUCUACGCAGCCAUAUGCCAAAAAACCUAAAUAAGAUAUUUUUCCCAUUUUAUUUCCCCUUUGUUCGUUAUUUGGUUCAGUUUAAUCAGAGCUACCUUGUGUUACGUUGUUCCCUUUUUAGUUUAGUAUAAAGUUAAACUGCUAGCUAAAAGUUUAAAACCAAGAAGGAUAAUUUUAACAGGAGAUAUAAACGAAAGAAUUGAACCAUGAUAAAACGCGACAUGCACUACAAAUUGAAGGUAUGAAAUUAAGUUAAAUGAAAGCUCGUUUAUUCACCAUAUGAUGCUCGUUAUAAGGUAAUCAUAUAGGCUAGAUACCGUGAGUUAACGAGGUCGUUUACAUGCACGUGAGUGCACGGAUAUCGGUUAAUUAUUCAAAUUACUGAAAAACACGGAGAAAACCGCAACCGCAUCGUCAUGUGUUUUUCUAAGAUGUAUGCAAACAGGGGAAAUAUCGCCAAACCAACAAUUAAUUUGACCAAAACCUCACAAUAUAUCAUCAUUUGUAUGCACAGAUUGGAUGCAUUGUGUGUUGUAAGCUUUUCGUGGCGCUAGAUGUCAGACAGAUGCAAAUGGCAAAUACAUACGAAAGUGUAAAACGUGUAUGGCGAACAUUUGUUUUUUUCUGUCAUUAUAGAUGCUAGUUUGGUGAAAGUUCACACUGAGUGCUUCAAAUCAUUCAGAAGAGCCAUGGAUGACUUCCAAUGAGAAACGACUGCUAAUACUUAUAUAAAUUCAUUACAGAAGGACCCUACCAGACUAUAUUUGAAUACGGCAUACCCAUGAAUUCUGGAACUGUUAUUCCUUAACCCAGUUUGGAGGAUAAGAGCUUACCAACUAGUUAUAAAUAUGCUGAGGCGAUGUAUUGCAAAAUAGCCAACAUACAACAAUAUGGAUGACCCUCUGUCUGGUCAACAGGAGUUUAAAUAUGGACGGGACAGUGAUGUGGCAGCUCUUCCCUGGCUCAUUCACCUCUUGCCUCUUAUGUUGUUACUGCUGAAACGGUCUAUAAGAUAACUUUCAUUAUUCCAUACUGUAUUCUGUUUCUAAUUGUAGCUGAGGUAUUUAAAUAAGUGUUGUGUGUAUCAAUGUAAAUAUUAAAUGUGAUGUACUUUAAUAAAAAGAGGUUUUGCAAUAUUUCUUGUCAUUUGUCUUUUAUAGAAACAACCCAUUAGCAACAAAAGUGGCUAUUAAUCAGUAUUUUAACACUUAACAUUGUUGAAUUCACAUUACACUGGUGUUGACCUUAAAUUAGGAGUGUUAAUUUUUAACACUGUAUUUCUGUGCCAACACCAGUGUAGUGUGGAAACAACAAUGAAUAGUGUUGAACAAAGUGUAAAAUUUAACAAUAUUGAGUGUUAAAUUAACAUAUAAUGAGUGUUGUUAAAUUAACACUACACUUUUGACUAAAUUAACACAGUGUAGUGUGGACACAUAUACACACUUUUCCAGUGUUAAAUUUGACACCCUGGGUGUUAUUUUAACACCAGUGA